AUUGAACGCUGGCGGCAGGCUUAACACAUGCAAGUCGAGCGGGGGAAGGUAGCUUGCUACCGGACCUAGCGGCGGACGGGUGAGUAAUGCUUAGGAAUCUGCCUAUUAGUGGGGGACAACAUCUCGAAAGGGAUGCUAAUACCGCAUACGUCCUACGGGAGAAAGCAGGGGAUCUUCGGACCUGGCGCUAAUAGAUGAGCCUAAGUCGGAUUAGCUAGUGGGUGGGGUAAAGGCCGACCAAGGCGACGAUCUGUAGCGGGUCUGAGAGGAUGAUCCGCCACACUGGGACUGAGACACGGCCCAGACUCCUACGGGAGGCAGCAGUGGGGAAUAUUGGACAAUGGGGGGAACCCUGAUCCAGCCAUGCCGCGUGUGUGAAGAAGGCCUUAUGGUUGUAAAGCACUUUAAGCGAGGAGGAGGCUACUUUAGUUAAUACCUAGAGAUAGUGGACGUUACUCGCAGAAUAAGCACCGGCUAACUCUGUGCCAGCCGCCGCAGUAA
rnacentral:rRNA from 1 species